rnacentral:rRNA from 1 species
CCCCAGUAACGGCGAGUGAAGCGGCAACAGCUCAAAUUUGAAAUCUGGUCCCCUUGCGGGGCCCGAGUUGUAAUUUGAAGAGGAUGCUUCUGGCAAGGUGCCUUCCGAGUUCCCUGGAACGGGACGCCGCAGAGGGUGAGAGCCCCGUACGGUAGGACGCCGAGCCUCUGUGAAGCUCCUUCGACGAGUCGAGUAGUUUGGGAAUGCUGCUCAAAAUGGGAGGUAAACCCCUUCUAAAGCUAAAUACCGGCCAGAGACCGAUAGCGCACAAGUAGAGUGAUCGAAAGAUGAAAAGCACUUUGAAAAGAGAGUUAAAAAGCACGUGAAAUUGUUGAAAGGGAAGCGCUUGCGACCAGACUCGCGCCCGUCGGAUCAGCCGUCGCUUGUCGGCGGCGCACUCCGGCGUGGCUCGGGCCAGCAUCAGUUCGCCUCGGGGGGAGAAAGGCGGCAGGAAUGUGGCUCCUCGGAGUGUUAUAGCCUGCCGUGUAAUACCCCCGGGCGGACUGAGGACCGCGCGUAUGCAAGGAUGCUGGCGUAAUGGUCGUCAGCGACCCGUCUUGAAACACGGACCAAGGAGUCGUCCUAAUAUGCGAGUGUACGGGUGUCAAACCCCUGCGCGUAAUGAAAGUGAACGGAGGUGAGAGCUUCGGCGCAUCAUCGACCGAUCCUGAUGUUCUCGGAUGGAUUUGAGUAAGAGCAUAUUGGGCCGGACCCGAAAGAAGGUGAACUAUGCCUGUGUAGGGUAAAGCCAGAGGAAACUCUGGUGGAGGCUCGCAGCGGUUCUGACGUGCAAAUCGAUCGUCAAACAUGGGCAUGGGGC